rnacentral:rRNA from 1 species
AGGACAAACGCUGGCGGCGUGCCUAAGACAUGCAAGUCGGACGAGAGGUUUCGGCCUCGAGUGGCGGACGGGUGAGGAACGCGUGGAGAACCUGCCCCGGGGUGGGGGAUACCCGCCAGAAAUGGCGGUUAAGACCGCAUACGAAUGCACCGUGCAGGCGGUGUAGGGAAAGCAGCGAUGCGCCCUGGGAGGGCUCCGCGUCGGAUUAGCUGGUUGGUGGGGUAACGGCCUACCAAGGCUUCGAUCCGUAGCUGGUCUGAGAGGACGGCCAGCCACACUGGGACUGAGACACGGCCCAGACUCCUACGGGAGGCAGCAGUUAGGGAAUUUUGACAAUGGGCGCAAGCCUGAUCGAGUGACGCCGCGUGCGGGAUGACGCCUUUCGGGGUGUAAACCGCUUUUCCCAGGGACGAGGAGGGACGGUACCUGGGGAAGAAGUCUCGGCUAACUACGUGCCAGCAGCCGC